CCAGACUCCUACGGAGGCAGCAGUAGGGAAUCUUCGGCAAUGGACGGAAGUCUGACCGAGCAACGCCGCGUGAGUGAAGAAGGUUUUCGGAUCGUAAAGCUCUGUUGUAAGAGAAGAACGAGUGUGAGAGUGGAAAGUUCACACUGUGACGGUAUCUUACCAGAAAGGGACGGCUAACUACGUGCCAGCAGCCGCGGUAAUACGUAGGUCCCGAGCGUUGUCCGGAUUUAUUGGGCGUAAAGCGAGCGCAGGCGGUUAGAUAAGUCUGAAGUUAAAGGCUGUGGCUUAACCAUAGUACGCUUUGGAAACUGUUUAACUUGAGUGCAAGAGGGGAGAGUGGAAUUCCAUGUGUAGCGGUGAAAUGCGUAGAUAUAUGGAGGAACACCGGUGGCGAAAGCGGCUCUCUGGCUUGUAACUGACGCUGAGGCUCGAAAGCGUGGGGAGCAAACAGGAUUAGAUACCCUGGUAGUCCACGCCGUAAACGAUGAGUGCUAGGUGUUAGACCCUUUCCGGGGUUUAGUGCCGUAGCUAACGCAUUAAGCACUCCGCCUGGGGAGUACGACCGCAAGGUUGAAACUCAAAGGAAUUGACGGGGGCCCGCACAAG
rnacentral:rRNA from 1 species